UUUCAAUGGCAACCUGUUUGCAAGAAUUACCAAUGUCAAAGUGAAAGCCGAUGGGAUGGACAAACUUACCCGUCUAAAUCAACGCCGAAAACGAUGCCAAUCAAGAUCAUAAACAUAAACAUUUUAUAGUGUCUCUGAAGCGUUAUAAAUAUUUUGAGGAAUAAAGGCAAUUUUGAUACUCAGUAAUAUUGGAUGCUCUCGGUUUGCAAUGCAGACGUGUUCUUGGACCGGCUUGACCCAUUUUCAACAGCAACUUGGCAAAUUCGAAGCCGAUGUCCUCACUUUUGCGUCCAAUAGAAUGUUUACAACAGGCAUGUUUUCCGAACCUUUUUUCCUUGUGUUGGGAAUAGAAAUGAUCCAGCUUUCAGUGUUGAAUAUAAACCCAAGAUUUCUAUAUAUAUUGUUGUUAGUAACAUCGGCAUUUACAAGUCGUUACAUGAUUUUCUAAAAGCUGGCUUCAUAAAGUUUAUGGGUAUUAAUCGAACUGCGGUUUCUCCAGAUCUACGAAGCGCCCAAAACAAAGCGA